GUGAACAGGCAAGAGCUCAGAUUUGAAAGCCUCUCGGGGCAUUGUAUUCUGAAGCCUUGAUUCUGAGAAACGGUAUCUAAGUCUUCUGGAAAGGAGCGCCAAGGAGGGUGAUAGCCCCGUACGGUACUGACCUCAUUGUAGAAUCUUGGCGUGGAGUCGAGUUGUUUGGGAAUGCAGCUCAAAUGGGUGGUAUGCUCCAUCUAAAGCUAAAUAUCUGCGAGAGACCGAUAGCGAACAAGUACUGUGAAGGAAAGAUGAAAAGAACUUUGAAAAGAGAGUGAAAAAGUACGUGAAAUUGUUGAAAUGGAAGGAUAGGCCGCUAACCACGUAGAGCCGUGUCUGAGGGGAGGAUAAAAGCUGUAGAAUGUGACUCUUCGGAGUGUUAUAGCUGCAGUGCAUACUCCCACUCGGGCGCGAGGACCUAAGGCUCUGCUAAAUGGUGGUCUAUCACCCGUCUUGAAC
rnacentral:rRNA from 1 species